GUUCCCUGCACGUGGGUUAGGGUUGCAACCCUAACCCUUCCCCGCUGCCACCGCUUUGAUCUCCACCGCCUGAAGGAGCUUUGACAGAGGUUUGUUACAUACCCCCCCCCUUAAAACAUCUUGCUCGCAAGGUGGAGGAAGUCAUCUUUUAGCUUCGAAUAAACCUCCCAUGUCGCAUCCGUUGCUUCUUGGCCGUGCCAACCAGGUUGGAAGUGUCGUGACCUUAGAUCCGAUCUUCAAUUUGAGUUGGGACACGUGAAAUGUUGGGUGGACCCAAGAUGAUGGAGGGAGAUCGAGCUUGUACGCAACACUGCCUAUCUUCUGCAGAAUUUGAAAUGGUCCAAAGAACCGAGGUGCGAGUUUGAGGCUAUGGCAGCGGGCUAUGCUGGUUUGACGGUACGGCUGCAACUUGAGGGUCUUCACCAUUGAAGACAGGGAAGUCCAACCUUACUAUUCUGGUCUGCACGUCGCCUGGGUGGGUUUGGUGUGGUGGCAGUUCUUGCUAGUUUUGAUGUUAGUGGUUGUGUUGCUGAAAAUGCUACUGCAAGAAAAUAUGUUACACCUGCAGAUUUUCAUUUUCUUGCCUCAACUGGUCACUUGAAGAAGAAUCCCGAGGACUACUAUUUGUAUUUCUUUUCUGUAUUUCCCCUGUUAGAAUAGCCAGCUGUUAUACCAUUGCCUCAUUUUGUCUUUUGAGGG